rnacentral:rRNA from 1 species
CCUACGGGUGGCAGCAGUGGGGGAUAUUGCACAAUGGGGGGAACCCUGAUGCAGCGACGCCGCGUGGGUGAAGGAGCGUUUCGGCGCGUAAAGCCCUAUCGGCAGGGAAGAAGAUGACGGUAACUGACCAAGAAGCCCCGGCUAACUACGUGCCAGCAGCCGCGGUAAUACGUAGGGGGCAAGCGUUAUCCGGAUUUACUGGGUGUAAAGGGGGCGCAGACGGCAAUGCAAGACAGGAGUGAAAGGCCGGGGCUCAACCCCGGGACUGCUUUUGGAACUGAAUGGCUAGAGUACAGGAGGGGUAGGCGGAAUGCCUAGUGUAGCGGUGAAAUGCGUAGAUAUUAGGAGGAACACCGGUGGCGAAGGCGGCUUACUGGACUGUGACUGACGUUGAGGCCCGAAGGCGUGGGGAGCAAACAGGAUUAGAUACCCUUGUAGUC